rnacentral:rRNA from 1 species
UACGUAGGGCGCGAGCGUUGUCCGGAAUUAUUGGGCGUAAAGAGCUCGUAGGCGGCCAGAUAAGUCCGCUGUGAAAUCUCGAGGCUCAACUUCGAGCUGUCGGUGGAAACUGUCUGGCUAGAGUCCGGAAGAGGAGAAUGGGAUUCCUGGUGUAGCGGUGAAAUGCGCAGAUAUCAGGAAGAACACCCGUGGCGAAGGCGGUUCUCUGGGACGGUACUGACGCUGAGACGCGAAAGCGUGGGGAGCGAACAGG